rnacentral:misc_RNA from 1 species
CCGAGUUAGGGUCUUUCAGGCCCGACCUCCAACCCUUUGUUUAUUCUACCAUGUUGCUUUGGCGGGCCCGCCCUUAGGGGCCGCCCGGGGGUUUUACCGCCCCUGGCCAGUGCUCGCCAGUAGCCUAUUUAAAUUCUCUAUAACUGUGUCGUCUGAGUAUAAAUAUAAAUCGUUAAA